ensembl:lncRNA
CAAGACCAAUAGGAAAGAAAAGGAAAGAAAAAAGAUCUUAGAGAUUUACAGCAGAUUUUGUUAGUAUAUCUUGUUACUUAAAAUAUACAUUUGGCUAGAAAGUAGGAGAAAUAUUUUUUUCAGGAUUUUAUGUAUAAAAUUCUCUUAGGUCUAUGCUGUAGCAUUCAAUAUCUAUCUUUAGACUUUUUUCCAUUGAAACUUGAGUUGGGCCUCUUUUAAAAUCUUCAGGACACCCAAACUCAAGAUAGGCCACUUCUGAGUUGGUUCAAAAUAUACAUGAUGAGUUUCAAAAAGUGAAAACUAACCAGUUACCUCUUUUAUAUUUGCCCUAGAAUAUUACUAUAACAUAUCACCUAAUAAAUGAGAAUAUUCCAAUACCAACUUUCCCCCAAAAUAUUAAUAUUGUGAUUAUAAAGAGAAGGCACUGGAGCUCUUCUAUUUCCUGAAGAAAUCUCUUCACUUCUGCUUUUCAGACAGGACCAAAUGAGCCUCUGAUGCCUUGUUGGCAGUUUUAGAAUCAUAGAAAGAAAGAGUUAGGAGAGACCAUAGAGGUCACUCAGUCCAACCCCUUCAUUUUGUAGAGACACUGUGUGGCUUCACCAGGAUCACAGAGCUAGUUAGCGGCAGGGUGGUGCCUAGAAGCUAGAUCUCCUAAAUCAUUGUUCAGUGAUUUUUCUAAUUCACCCAGUGCCUUUUCUCCUACGUCCAAGAUUUAGAGGUUUUAUUGAUGUGUAUUUUAAUAUUGUUGUUCUUAAUUUAAAUAAUUUGAUGAUUGAUGGCAGAAGAAUGAUUUCACUGAGGAAAUUCCAUAGGCAGUGGUGAGGGUGUGCCAAAUUAUUCACACAAAAGAAAACAAAAAUGAAGUAUCAAAUGAAAUGUGUUUGGGAUCAUAUUUGGCAUGAGGAGCAGCAUUUUUGUGACAUAAUUUGUUAUCUAGUUAUGGAGAUGAGUCUAGUGUACAUGAAAUGAGUGGUGAACGCUGUACAGAUGACUUGUGAAGUGAUAGAUUAUCUGGUACAGAGAAAAUGUUUAUUGAGGAGUGCAGGGGUGAGAGAAGGCUUCAUGGAAGAGGUGAGACUAGAGCUAGGCCCUAAGGAAUGAAUAGGGUUUGGAUAUGCAGUUGGAGCAGCAGAGCAUUCCACACAAGAGCAAGCAGCAUGAGUGAGGUAGUGGAAGGGGCAAUGGAGCAGUGUGGGUGUGUGUCUUGUGUGUUCAUGAGAGAUUGGUGAGGAAGCCAGUCUGACUGGAAAAUAAGGCCAGGUUGGCAGGGUGGAGUCAGAUUAUGGAGGACUUUGAAAGUCAGGUGAAGAGGUUAUACAUAUAGACCACAGGGAACUCACCUUGCCUAUUGAGCUAAAGCAUGACUCUGUAGAGACCUGUUUGAGACUGUCACUUGGGCAGUUGGGUUUGGAGAGUCUGGAUGGCUAGUUAUGAGGCACUUGAGUAUCUAGGUAGGAGAUGGUAAGAUGGCAGAGACAAGUGGAGAUAUAAAAGGAGGAGAACAUAUAAAGACAUUUCAAAGGAAUAAUCACUGAGGUAACUGGUUAGAUUUGGUAGACUGAGAAAUUGGUAGAUUGAAGAAAUCGUUCCAAGUUAGAUCCAAGGACUUUAUCCUGGAUGACCAAGCUCAGAGAAGUUUGUCUGUGUCCCUGAACUUCGUUUCCUGCCAAGACUGGAGUUUGAGCUGAUUGCUUUAAUAAAACCUAUUCUGGUUGGCAUUCUUUCUCUUUCCACAUCUCUUGUUGUUUCAAGUUACAGAACUGUUGUAUUAAAGGUGUGUCUUAUUUCCCUUAAGGAAAAACAAUAUUUGUAAAAAAGUUGCUUGGUUCCUUAUACUUGCCUUCUGAUUAUUGUUGACUUUGCCACUUUGUUAUCUCAUUGUUAAAUAUAGAGAGAAAGAUCCCUGGAGCCUAUUAGUCUCUGCAGGUGAGAAUGUGUUUAAUCUAUGGGAGAAAACAAAAUUACUUGCCUGGAAUGUUUGUUCUCUGAUUAAUAAUGUAGUCACAUUGAUCCACCCUCUAUGCCCAGUGAGUUCCUUAAGGUUUUUUAUUGAGAGGGGGCCAUUCACACAUAUAACUAAGGGAGCCAGUUGGGGACCUUGGUUAUACUCAGUGGGAAACUGAUGAAAUUUUAAAAGAUUCUAGGACACAGAGGCCCACAGACCUUGUACAAUAGAGUGACAUUUUUUUCUGGUCCAAAGGACAUCCCAUUCUAUCACUGCCAUAUCUCUCCUUCAUCCUGAGAGAGGCUGGAAAGAAGAUACACUACAAGAGGAUUGUGUUGCAAGUUUUCCUAAUGCCAGCAAACAUUUAUGUAGUAAAAAUAUUUUAUUAUUAUUGUUAUUACUUAAUCCCCACAGUAAUCUUAUGAGGUACAUGUAAUUAUCCUUCUCAUUUUACAGAUAAUGAUACUGAGAAAGGCUGAGAGAGGUAAAAUGAUCUGGAUGUUAAACCAGCCAUCUGACUUUAAAUCCUGAAUUUUUCUCACUCUAGUGUGUGGAGAGCAUGGGCAAGAAGUCAGGCUCAGAGAAACUGCCAACUUGUUUACGUGUUUUAUUUUUCAAUUAUGUGACAUUGGUUCUUUAUGGAUUGUUUGGACUUGUCUAUUACAACAAGCAAUUCAGAGUGUUGUAUAUUUCUUUCCAUUGGCGACUAGCUCCUGUGAAUGAGUUAUGCUACAAAAGUCAUCCUUACAGCUGUUUAAAUUAUCCAGCAAAUCCAAAUUCUUGUUUUGCUUCUUACAAGGUCCUGCUUGACUUGGAAAAAAAUGGGUGUUCCAUUUCUCUCACUAUAUUUAACUGCCUGGAAUGGUAACUUCUACCUGUUCUUUGGGACUUUGGCUCAAAGCCAAGGUGGUUGUGUAAGGAAAAGGUGAAGGCUGGGUUUAGGCUAUAUCUUGUGUCAGCCAUUUUUACAAGGGCAGCAUUUUGAGAAAAACUUUGCCACAUGGCUGAAGAAAAUGCUGGUUUGCAAACACACUUGGUGUGGUUUGCUAUGAUUUUACUCAUUUUUACCUCUGUUAGGCUUUCCUGAUCAGCUUGUCUUUUGGCCACUUUGUCACUCUAAAAUAGAGUUCUAUGAAAGGUGGCAUGUUCUCUGCUUGAACCUGUGGCAAACCAUCACUGCUCCUCAUUUUAAAUUCCAAGAAGAUAUGUUAGGCACCAAGGAGAAAUUGGCUGGUGUUUCUCAUGCCUUUGAUAUAAUCAUUGCAUUCCUUGAUCGGAAGACACUUUGAGAGGCCAAUUUGUUCUUUAUAUCUUGUCCUUAUCUUCUUGAUAUGGGUCUAUUAAAAACAUCCUCAGAAAAGGCAUCACAUUUUAUUAAACCCCUAAAGAGAGUCCAACUUCUUUUAUUAUUAAUUCUAGUGUUUAGCAAUUUAGACUGUGUUUAAAUAUCAGUAAAAAGCAGAUGAUGACAAGGUAGACCAACUCUGUAGCCAUCUUCCUCUUGGUUUUGGCCCAAUACACAGCCAGUUGAAUCGAUUAUGUAAACAUCAGCUAUUCAUAUGGAAGAAGACACCAGACUGGAUUAUGUGACACUUGGGUCACACACAAUGAAAGAACUAACCUCAUUAUCAGUAAAUUCAUCCUUUACCUAAUCUCAAUACCCAAGGGAGGGUGUGAUUCAAGUAAAACUUCUCUGAAGCCACCCUAAAUGCAGGUGGAAAUCACUUCUUGCCAUUUACUGUGUAAGAAACUUCUAUUUAUGCUGGAAGAUAAGAGCAAGAAACUUUGGAUCCUUAGAAUAAAUUAUCAGAGAACUCUUUGCUGCUCAAGUCAUCCAAGGGACCUAAAAUUGCUCAUUAAAUGAAAUUGCUUAUAGACAAUUUAGGACAAAGCCCAAUAGUUCUAAGCAUUUGGUAAAAGUUAGUUAUUCUUUAUUUAGAGAACCCAAGUCCUAGAGUUUACAAUGAGCCCUGCACACAGAGGAGGGCAAAGGAAGGUGACAGAACAACACCAAUGUGAUAGGAGCAGAACCAAGCCAUUGGCCUAAUCAUUCCCACUGAACAACUGUCGUAACUUUAGGGAAGAGAUAUUCUCAGUCACUACCCAAAUAUACCUCUGUGCAGUACUACAUUGUUGCUUCCUUUUCAUUUAACCACUUAGUAAUCUGUUUCCUACUUAUCUAAAGUUCACUUUGUCAUUCUCAAAUCCUCUUAUUUGAAGGCCCUGGCUUCUUAAGACCCUGCUCCAUUACCGUCUGCAGCAGAAGUGUCUGAAUCCAGAUGGCCUCUACUGUCUCAGUGAAGGGCUGUUCCUGGUUGGGUCCAGCAGAUCCCAAAAGUACCUGAUCAGGUGAAAUGAGGGCUAACUCACAAGAUGGUAUGACCCCUGGGCAGCACCAGAAUGGUUGAAAAUUGACUGACAGGAAUGUAUCUGUAGUGAAGUUUUUACUACUUCAGUCUUCAAAGGAGCACAGGUCAGGAAAUUUCUCCUCUGUUUAUUUCACUUGAUCCUUCUCCAGCCUACUUCUUCAUUGCCUAUAAUCACAUGCAUCUCUUUAGCAUCCAUUGGUGAUCCUGUCUCUACCACCUAAUUUAGAAAAAUAACGUGGAUGUCUUGAAAAUGGUGCAAACUUCUAAGGAAAAAAGGUUAUAUGCCAUCUAGAUGAUGACUAAUCUUCAAAUAACUCCCUGAGUUUGAGCUCCAAUUAGGGAGAAAUAAUUAAGCACAUUGGGACUGGAGAAAUAAAAUGUUUGAAACCACUCUCUGAUCUUAGUUGUGCCUCUUUUUCAAAGUCCCCAAAUUAAACAUAAUGAUGGACUAGAUAAAUAUGGAUAUUAUUCACCAUCUGGUUAUGCUACUUGAUGCCUUGACUGGAGUAUCUCAGAGACCUUCUUUUCAAAGGCCCCCCUGGGGGGCACAAUUCCCU